rnacentral:tRNA from 1 species
GGCAGUGCAGUCUAGUGGCUAGAGCACUGGACUGCGACUCAGGGGACCUGGGUUCUCAUCCCAGCUCUGCUA